AUGACUUAGCAGCUGAACAACAAACAACAAUGUGAAUAUUUCCCUUCUGCUGCUAACAGUUAAGCGGAAAAAAGAAGUUGUGAAAACGCAUUAGGUGCACUGUUCCAGUGAGGGAACUACAGCUAUGAAAAAAACAAAAUGCCUACUCUCAUUGUCUGUGAGGGUGCCAACCCAAAUUCUCCAGAUUGCAUUUAUACAGGUAGGUCUUAUGUCCUAGCCACAGCUGUAGGCCCAGGAGAUGCCUUCCAAGCUCCAGGGAGCAGCGUGGGGACCAGCACAGCUAUUGAUGACUCCUGGGCACUAGCUCAGAUCAUAGGAAUGACUGCUGUGCGCCCAGUGAGCCUUCAGUCACUGGAACACUGGGGAAGGACAGAGAAGGGAGGGUUUUCUAAAGCCCAAGAAGCUCUGGUGGCCCAGGAAAGAAUUACUGAAGAAGUAGGGGGCUGACCUCAGAGAAGCAGAGGCUAAAGAGCAGGAAGAAAGAAUCUAAAGAUAGAAGUCCAGAAAGGGCAAGUGCAAUUCACAUAGACAACCAAGUCAACUUCCUGAAACUCACACUGCAGAUUAUCUAGAACUUGAAGACACAAACUCCAACCACUCUCUCCCUCCCUCUCCCACCAACAUCCUUUUUGUUUUGCCAAAUCUUUAGACUAUUUUCUGUAUUCAUUGCCUUCAAAUAAAGUAUUAAUCUGCUUUAAAGUUCAAGUGAUGAUUUCC